AUGUUUUCAUGGUUCUCAGAUAUCAUACGCAAUUACAGUGAAUAUCAGAAUCCGCGCAUCAGAAGAAUAUUGUGGAACACUGCAAUGACUUACAAAAUUGGCACCAAGGCCUUGAGUGCCAUUCUGGAAGCAAUGAAACUCGUACGCUCCCCACCUGUUGAUGCUUGUUCAGAAUAUCAUCCUAAUGACUAUUCUAACCUCGAGGAGUCAAAGGCAGAUGGCCUGUCCUGUUCACCCAUCAAGGUGCCUGUUCUAAUUUGGCAAGGUUUUAUUGAUUGCACGUAUCUUGCAUAUGUUGUCUUGCAUUUCUUCUACUUUGUUGCACCGCCAUCUGCUUAG
rnacentral:rRNA from 1 species